rnacentral:tRNA from 1 species
UCCCGUGUGGCUCAGUUGGUAGAGCAUGGUGUUUGCAAUGCUAGGGUUGUGGGUUCAAUUCCCACAGGGGUA